GGCUUUGGUGACUCUAGAUAACCUCGGGCCGAUCGCA
rnacentral:piRNA from 2 species